AUUAUUUUGGCAGAUUAGUGCGAUAGAUUUAGAAUCUUUUUAAGUAAGAAAUUUACAAAUAAUA
rnacentral:tRNA from 1 species